rnacentral:tRNA from 1 species
GUUAAUAGGGCUGCAUUAGCAGGUCACUUUGAUAUAGUGAAUUGUGAAUUUGAUAUAUUCCGUUAAUA